AGUCGAACGAGAACGUACCCUUCGGGGUGCUAGUAAAGUGGCGCACGGGUCCGUAACACGUGGGUAAUCUACCUCCGAGUGGAGAACAACCCGUCGAAAGAUGGGCUAAUACUUCAUAAGACCACAGGUUCUUUGGAACCAGAGGUAAAAGGUGGCCUCUACUUGUAAGCCAUCACUUGGAGAUGAGCCCGCGCACCAUUAGCUUGUUGGUGGGGUAAAAGCCCACCAAGGCGAAGAUGGUUAGCUGGUCUGAGAGGACGACCAGCGACACUGGAACUGAGACACGGUCCAGACUCCUACGGGAGGCAGCAGUGGGGAAUAUUGGACAAUGGGGGAAACCCUGAUCCAGCAACGCCGCGUGAGUGAUGAAGGCCUUCGGGUUGUAAAGCUCUGUCAGAGGGAACGAAUAAGGGUGACCUAAUACGUCAUCUGAUGACGGUACCCUCAAAGGAAGCACCGGCUAACUCUGUGCCAGCAGCCGCGGUAAGACAGAGGGUGCAAGCGUUGUUCGGAAUCACUGGGCGUAAAGGGCGUGCAGGCGGUGGAGUGUGUCUGACGUGAAAUCCCUCGGCUCAACCGAGG
rnacentral:rRNA from 1 species